UACAGAGGGUGCGAGCGUUGUUCGGAGUUACUGGGCGUAAAGGGUGUGUAGGCGGUUCUUUAAGUUUGGUGUGAAAUCUCCCGGCUCAACCGGGAGGGUGCGCCGAAUACUGAGGGACUCGAGUGCGGGAGAGGAAAGUGGAAUUCCUGGUGUAGCGGUGAAAUGCGUAGAUAUCAGGAGGAACACCGGUGGUGUAGACGGCUUUCUGGACCGUAACUGACGCUGAGACACGAAAGCGUGGGUAGCAAACAGG
rnacentral:rRNA from 1 species